rnacentral:lncRNA from 1 species
GUACCCCAUGCUUUAUUCUUGAAUACUUAUGAUUUACCCUUGACCUGCUUUCAGUUUUGAAUUGUACAUGUGUUUUCCCAUAUUUGUCCAUGAUUAAUAGGAUUCAUGAGAUGCUGUGCGUAUGGAUGAAACUUAGGCAUAUGGUAACGAGGAUAGGUCAACCUCAGGACACCCAGGGAAGUUAGGGAGCAUGCCCCGCUGAGUGGAAAUUCCUAGUUCUCCUUUGUGGUUAGUUAGGGUCACCUCUCCACUUAGAAUCUUUUUCCAGUUGGUUGAGGCCAUUUCACACCCUUGCCCCACAGCCAUCUCCCAUUAUCAGAAAUAACAGCUUGUGCUGCCUCAACCUUCCCUGACCAUCCCCUACUGCUCAUAUCUGACCACCUCUGCUCUGAGAGCUGCCUCUGGAGCACAGUUUCUCCUUCUGUUCCUAGUCCCCACCCCAGCCACACCCAGCCUUGUAAAUCCUGCAGCCGCCACUUGGAACUGGGCGGUAAGGAGCAGGGCACCAACAGCCAGUGCUCAAGGAGCUGCACCUAAAUUUAUCUUUGCAGACUCUGCUUCCUGCUUGCCUCAGUUCUUCUCUCUUAUCUAUUCUAAUUCCAAGACCUUUUUGCUUAAUGCAUAGGAAUAUCAAAAUAUCAGUAGUAAUAAUAGAAGUAGCAUUCAGAGCCAGGAAUAUUUGUGCAUAUCUCUUCAGUCCUCACAGCAAUUUUACAAAGGAGAGUCACGAAGACAUACAGUGGCUGGUCGGCACACAGUGAGGACCCCGGCAGCGUGGAGCCCCUGAUCUGUCCACACUCUGCCCACAGCGACCAGCCAGCACACAGUGAGGACCCUGGGGGAGUGGAGCCCCACUCUAUGCCCACAUCCCAUCCACAGCAACCACCUUAGCCACACAGGCACCUUCAGCCCUCCCCCCUGACCGCCUCUGACCUCCUGGUUGUGCUGCUACCGUUCCACACUACAGAGGGACAGAGGGUCAUAAAGGCCAUUGUCCUGAGCUCCAGAAGAUAGAGCAGAAGUGAACAACAGAAGAGGGCCUCUCUUAGGCUCCUCAAUGAAAACUGAAGCCCACUGGAAAAGUGAAGAGAAUCUCUGCAAUAAAGGCACACCAGACCCCCAUGCUUGGUAAGUUGGAGGGAUCAUCACCUCCCAUCGGAACCUGGACUAUCUUCAGGGGAAAGGUAGCUGGAAUCUGCAGUAGAACCUUGCAGAGUUCAACCCUAC